CAGGCCUGAUUGUCUCGCCUGAGGUGUGUGUGUGACAGGUGGGACUUGUUGUGCUGUGAGAGAGUGAUGGGUUAGGCAAGAUGACAGGCUGGCACAGGGGGCAAGCAGGACGGCGACUGAACAUGCUCGGAUCUGGGGAGAGGUGUCAGUCCUGCAGCCAGCCAAGCAGAAACACACAGGAACACUUAAGGUGAUUCAAAGAGGAAACAAACAGAAGCUCCACUUCAGAUAUUCCUUAAACCCGAGAGAAUGUCCUUCAAACUGGAUCUAAGCAGCUGUGUCAGCAAGCAUCCUGCCUGCAGAGGGGUCUUUGAUCAACACACUGAGUCCCUACAAGCUGUUCUGCUGCUAACCCUGACCUCUGACCUCUGUGAAGCCAAAAGAACACACAGUGUUCCUAUAGGGAUCAGUCAGUUAUUACACAAUUAUUUUUUUUAACUAGCCUUAGAGUGCUGAAGUUGGAAAAGACUGUGCAUUAUUUCAGUGCUGCUUUAGUUUUAGAAGGCUGCUAAUUGCUAGCCUGAUGUUCUUUCUAUAUGCUAAUCAAUGACUGUUGCUGGAUAUAAUCAAGCAGAAAUUCAUAGCUUGGGUGUAGCUGCCAACACAAUGGAGUACAAAAUAAAUGACUCAAGUAAAUUUAUGAAUGGAGAAAACAGUAUGUGCUGUGUAAGUGUGCAAUAAAGUGACUUGACUUAGAACAGCUUUUAAUGUGA